rnacentral:rRNA from 1 species
UACGUAGGCGGAAAAUUAAGUCAGUAGUGAAAUCCUGCAGCUUAACUGUAGAACUGUAAUUGAUACUGGUUUUCUUGAAUGUAGUUGAGGUAGGCGGAAUAUGUAAUGUAGCGGUGAAAUGCUUAGAUAUUACAUAGAACACCGAUUGCGAAGGCAGCUUACUAAGCUACGAUUGACGCUGAGGUACGAAAGCGUGGGGAGCGAACAGGAUUAGAUACCCUGGUAGUC